CUGACUGUAGGGCUCAAUAUAUAAUUUUACGAAAUUAAAUCCCAGGGCAAUGAAACAUCCACUCUUCUACGUUUUGGCAAUAUUUGUUGCUGCCGCUCUCAUCAUUCCAUUCAUGACCAUGUCUGCUGUCAGAAUUAGUCUUCAUAGUAACCGUGAACGAUAUACUACAUGGCCAAGAAAAAGAAACAGCACCAUGGGGAGGCUGACACUAACUUCAAAGGGAGUAGUGAGGGAGCGAAUGAAGCAAAAUGGAGCACACCCACUUCAAAUUGCCGGCUCUAGAUUACCAGAUUGCUCCCAUGCUUGUGGGUCAUGUACACCCUGUGUGUUAAAAAUUGUUAGCUCACUAUGUUCCUCCCUUGCUCAGUCCGAGGCAUGCCCUAUAUCAUAUAAGUGCAUGUGUAAGAACAAAUAUUAUCCAGUUCCAUAAACACCAGCAGCUGCAUGGAGCGUAUGUUCUAGAGACAUUGCGUUCUGGUGCCUAGUUGUAUUAUUACAGUAGUAGUGAUUGUUGGAUAUAAAUAUAUUUCAGUUUCUAAUUAACCAUUUAAAUUUUUAGUUC